AAAUUGAAGAGUUUGAUCAUGGCUCAGAUUGAACGCUGGCGGCAGGCCUAACACAUGCAAGUCGAACGGUAACAGGAAACAGCUUGCUGUUUCGCUGACGAGUGGCGGACGGGUGAGUAAUGUCUGGGAAACUGCCUGAUGGAGGGGGAUAACUACUGGAAACGGUAGCUAAUACCGCAUAAUGUCGCAAGACCAAAGAGGGGGACCUUCGGGCCUCUUGCCAUCGGAUGUGCCCAGAUGGGAUUAGCUAGUAGGUGGGGUAACGGCUCACCUAGGCGACGAUCCCUAGCUGGUCUGAGAGGAUGACCAGCCACACUGGAACUGAGACACGGUCCAGACUCCUACGGGAGGCAGCAGUGGGGAAUAUUGCACAAUGGGCGCAAGCCUGAUGCAGCCAUGCCGCGUGUAUGAAGAAGGCCUUCGGGUUGUAAAGUACUUUCAGCGGGGAGGAAGGGAGUAAAGUUAAUACCUUUACUCAUUGACGUUACCCGCAGAAGAAGCACCGGCUAACUCCGUGCCAGCAGCCGCGGUAAUACGGAGGGUGCAAGCGUUAAUCGGAAUUACUGGGCGUAAAGCGUACGCAGGCGGUUUGUUAAGUCAGAUGUGAAAUCCCCGGGCUCAACCUGGGAACUGCAUCUGAUACUGGCAAGCUUGAGUCUCGUAGAGGGGGGU
rnacentral:rRNA from 1 species